rnacentral:lncRNA from 1 species
UGGUUGCAGUGUACAUACCUGUGAGGGCUUGUAAGGUAUUUUCAAUAUCACGGCAAGCCAUAACAGCUUCAACAGCAUGAACUCUGACAUGUUGCUGAAGUUGUUCUUUGAAUGUACACAAAACUAUCAAAUAUUGUGCCUGCACCAAACAACCAAAAAACAUAUAUAACAAAUUAGUUUUGAUUAUAAAAAAAUAUAUGUAUAAUUAAAGUGGUAAAAAUAAUAACACCCAUCAAUCAAAAUCCUCUUUGUUGGUACAAAUAAAGGCAGAAACCCAUGAAUUUUACUAUGAUGGCCUCAAGAAUAUAGAAAGAUGAUAGUAAAGACAUACGAGGAAGUUGUCGAGUUGUUGACGAUCAUGAGGCGAAAGAGAAUGAGUUUGUUGAGAGAUAUAAGAUCGUAGAAGAUGAUGAGAUUGAGAUAACUGAGCAUCAAUCAAUGGUAACUGAUCUAUAGGAGUAGCAACUCGAAGACAUGCUACAUGUGCAGACAGAAGCUGUUCAUACAAAGGAUGUGUUGCUAUCUCCGCCUUCAGUUGUCUGUUCUCACCGCCACCAUCUCCGCCGUAACCACCACCACUACCCUGCAUCAUCCCUAAGCUUGGUUCUUGCAUUUCUGAAGUAAAGUUGUUGUUAGUAUUAAUUAAAGGAGAAAAAAGUGAUGAGGUUGAGGACCACUCUAUCUAUCUAUCUAUAUGGAUUGAUGUAUUGUUAUUAUUAUCGGUGUUUGUGUUUGUGUAAUAGUAUGUAUUAUAGGGAUCUGAGACAAAGCUUUCUGAGCCACUUCUGAUAGAAACAAAGAUUUUACAUGCGCAGAGAAAGAGGGAGAAUCAAAAGCAUUUAUUUAUUUUAAAACAAAGAAGAGAGAAAGUGUGUAAGGUAUGAAAUCAUUACUAUUAAAGGAGAUGGAAGCGAGAGAGAGGUCAGGAAAAGGGUUAAAAGAGAUAAAGCUGUUUCUGUCAACUCAAUAUCUCUUUUUUCUUUUCUUUUCUUUAUUUUUCUAUCUUAGGUACUUGAUUUGAUUUGAUUAGACGCAGUAACUAACUAUGUGGCUGUGUUUUGCUCGUCUGAUUUAAAUCGUACAAUCUCAAAUCAAUAGUUAGAAAUUUAGAAUCGAUUGUUGUGUAAAUUUACUACUACAACAAAUCAUGAUUGAGCUUUUAAGUUUAUUUCAUAUCUCAUUUUAUUUUCAUCUUUCAUUUUGUAGUCAAUUUCUCUCAGAAAUUAUAAGUUUCGUCAAUUAUCU